AAGGUUACUGCUCCAACCCAGACACUGUGGCUGCUGUGGAGGGCUGCCAGGCCCUUAGAGGCUGCGGUGCAGUAGGUGUGGUGAUCUAUAGGCUUCAACAGCAGUCACUCAAAGACUCACUGCACCGCCGAGGAAAAAACGUGUGUGUGGCCAGACAUACAGAGGGAGUGCCAAAGAGGAUCUUCUCACUCCAGCGGCGCUGUUCCUCCACGCCGCCUUCCUGGUUCCUUCACCGACCCAGCUGGCCUCCCAUACAAGAGGUGAUCCUCACCCUGAAGAGCAGGGGAAAGCGUCUUUCAUUUCAGUUGUUUUAUCAUUUAUGGAUGACUAAGAUAAUUUUGUUAAUUGAGUGCAAAUGAGUGAUGGGUUUAUUCAACCACGUUUUGA
ensembl:lncRNA